AUCACUUUCUCCAUCUCUGCCCCCCCCCCGGAUCUCCUGCACCGUCUCCAUUGCUUUCUGAUUCUUUCUCCAUUUCCUCUCUUCAGGUUCCCAUCUUACAUUUUUUUUAAAUUUAUUUUCUUUUAAUUUGUUCUCCCGACUCCUCCACCUUUCCUCCACCCGUCCUCUUUUCUCGCGCCUGCUUUUCUAAUCCCCUUGUUGCCCCUCGGUUAAGACCCCCGUUGUAUCACUCUGCUCUAUCAGGUCCGCUCGCGCUUUGGGCUUUUUUUUUUUUUUUUUUUUUGUGCCACUAACGAGUUCUUUGCCUUUUUCUUCUUCUGUUUUUUUUUGUGCGUCUUUCAUCUCUUGAUCUCUUUCCGCUCAAGUGUUCACAGAAACGGGGGAGGGGGAGGGGGGGUCGGUUGAUCACGGGUCUCUGGGGAGCGGCGGCGGAAUCGGUGUGACGAAGUGUGAUGAGAGCCGCUGCGCCUCGCCGGCUCCGGCUGACGUCCUUCUGAAGGUCACUCAGCGGAGAACUUGUAUCAGGAGGACUUGGUCAACAUGUAGAUGUGUGAUUUGCACGCUUCUCAGGGACUCAAAGCCAAAGGUCGUUUAAACUCUAUCAAAGCGUAGAAAGUAUAAGCGGCUGAAGGGAUGCGGCCCGUUAAAAGAAGUGAGUCAACAGACCUUCUGCUUCUCCCGGCGCGUAGUCUUGAUUAUGAGCCGGUCGGAAUCUGGAGGACACAUUUCCCAGGUCAAAGGUCACUGCCCCCCCCCUUCAGUAUCUCAAACGAACGGUCGGUGCGACACCUUCGUCACACUGACGGAAGAGAAGAGAAGGUCGUCGUGAGAAGCAUCGCUCUCCGGCCGGUGAG
ensembl:lncRNA